GGAUGUAAGGGUGAUCUGGCUGUGGCAUCUGUCACCCCAUUGAUUGCCAAGCUUGAUUUGGCUGAUCUGGCUUCGGGUGGCUGUGCCUUUCCUCCCUCAUCAUGCCAUAUGGGUCCCUCCUGAAGUUGAAUACUUGGUCAUAGAGGACAAUCACCCUAAUAGAAAAGGAUCAUUCCCUUGGCCAAGGUUUUAUAAGUAGCUGCUGGAACCUCCAACAAGCUCUCAAAAUGCUAUCCAUCUUUUUGAUAGAAAUUUUAAAAUAAUUUGACAUUUCAA
ensembl:misc_RNA 7SK 7SK RNA